AUUGAACGCUGGCGGCAGGCUUAACACAUGCAAGUCGAGCGGAGAUGAGGUGCUUGCACCUUAUCUUAGCGGUGGACGGGUGAGUAAUGCUUAGGAAUCUGCCUAUUAGUGGGGGACAACAUUCCGAAAGGAAUGCUAAUACCGCAUACGCCCUACGGGGGAAAGCAGGGGAUCUUCGGACCUUGCGCUAAUAGAUGAGCCUAAGUCGGAUUAGCUAGUUGGUGGGGUAAAGGCCUACCAAGGCGACGAUCUGUAGCGGGUCUGAGAGGAUGAUCCGCCACACUGGGACUGAGACACGGCCCAGACUCCUACGGGAGGCAGCAGGGGGGAAUAUUGGACAAGGGGGGGAACCCUGAUCCAGCCAUGCCGCGUGUGUGAAGAAGGCCUUAUGGUUGUAAAGCACUUUAAGCGAGGAGGAGGCUACUGAGACUAAUACUCUUGGAUAGUGGACGUUACUCGCAGAAUAAGCACCGGCUAACUCUGUGCCAGCAGCCGCCGUAACAC
rnacentral:rRNA from 1 species